rnacentral:rRNA from 1 species
CGUCCAGCGGCGGACGGGUGAGUAAUGCCUAGGAAAUUGCCCUGAUGUGGGGGAUAACCAUUGGAAACGAUGGCUAAUACCGCAUGAUGCCUACGGGCCAAAGAGGGGGACCUUCGGGCCUCUCGCGUCAGGAUAUGCCUAGGUGGGAUUAGCUAGUUGGUGAGGUAAGGGCUCACCAAGGCGACGAUCCCUAGCUGGUCUGAGAGGAUGAUCAGCCACACUGGAACUGAGACACGGUCCAGACUCCUACGGGAGGCAGCAGUGGGGAAUAUUGCACAAUGGGCGCAAGCCUGAUGCAGCCAUGCCGCGUGUGUGAAGAAGGCCUUCGGGUUGUAAAGCACUUUCAGUCGUGAGGAAGGCGGUGUAGUUAAUAGCUGCAUCGUUUGACGUUAGCGACAGAAGAAGCACCGGCUAACUCCGUGCCAGCAGCCGCGGUAAUACGGAGGGUGCGAGCGUUAAUCGGAAUUACUGGGCGUAAAGCGCAUGCAGGUGGUUUGUUAAGUCAGAUGUGAAAGCCCGGGGCUCAACCUCGGAAUUGCAUUUGAAACUGGCAGACUAGAGUACUGUAGAGGGGGGUAGAAUUUCAGGUGUAGCGGUGAAAUGCGUAGAGAUCUGAAGGAAUACCGGUGGCGAAGGCGGCCCCCUGGACAGAUACUGACACUCAGAUGCGAAAGCGUGGGGAGCAAACAGGAUUAGAUACCCUGGUAGUCCACGCCGUAAACGAUGUCUACUUGGAGGUUGUGGCCUUGAGCCGUGGCUUUCGGAGCUAACGCGUUAAGUAGACCGCCUGGGGAGUACGGUCGCAAGAUUAAAACUCAAAUGAAUUGACGGGGGCCCGCACAAGCGGUGGAGCAUGUGGUUUAAUUCGAUGCAACGCGAAGAACCUUACCUACUCUUGACAUCCAGAGAACUUUCCAGAGAUGGAUUGGUGCCUUCGGGAACUCUGAGACAGGUGCUGCAUGGCUGUCGUCAGCUCGUGUUGUGAAAUGUUGGGUUAAGUCCCGCAACGAGCGCAACCCUUAUCCUUGUUUGCCAGCGAGUAAUGUCGGGAACUCCAGGGAGACUGCCGGUGAUAAACCGGAGGAAGGUGGGGACGACGUCAAGUCAUCAUGGCCCUUACGAGUAGGGCUACACACGUGCUACAAUGGCGCAUACAGAGGGCAGCCAACUUGCGAAAGUGAGCGAAUCCCAAAAAGUGCGUCGUAGUCCGGAUUGGAGUCUGCAACUCGACUCCAUGAAGUCGGAAUCGCUAGUAAUCGUGGAUCAGAAUGCCACGGUGAAUACGUUCCCGGGCCUUGUACACACCGCCCGUCACACCAUGGGAGUGGGCUGC